AUAAGCAGGUAUCCCAGCAUACCUGAGGAAGCCUCUCUGGUAAUCAAGCAGGUCUCCUUCCCCGGUUUGCUCUCACGUUCCCCGAACCCCCGUGCAAGCAGGUCUCCUUCCCUGCGGUUUGCUCUCGCGUUCCCCGAACCCCCGAGCAAGCAGGUCUCCUUCCCUGCGGUUUGCUCUCGCGUUCCCCGAACCCCCGUGCAAGCAGGUCUCCUUCCCUGCGGUUUGCUCUCGCGUUCCCCGAACCCCCGAGCAAGCAGGUCUCCUUCCCUGCGGUUUGCAGGGGG